rnacentral:ncRNA from 2 species
AAAUUUAGAAGAAAACUGUGAAGUGUGUUCUGUAUAUGGGCAUCUAGAACAUAUGAAGUUACUGAUGCAACCGGCUUCUAAAAAA